rnacentral:lncRNA from 1 species
UUAUGAGGGGGAACAACCUAAUAACCAACUCUUGAACUGUCCAAGUAACCGUAGAGGGAGAGAGAGAGAGAAGACAGAGAGAGGACCACACCACAUGUUGCCAAUAAAUCACAGGGCACAGAGACAGCCAUUCAUACAAUCUUACUAGGGAAAAUGAAUCUGGUUAUGAGAUCAUUACACCACAUGAUUGCCCUCACUACACCAAGUCUCAUUCAAUCUGGGUAAUCACAUCAUACAACGGAUUGGCUGAUUGGUGAUGUGAUUCAGAAUGAUCUGAACACUAGAACUCAAACGAACUGCCAAAUCGAUAACACAUCUAAACAGGUCAAGGGUCUCAAAAAGAAAUCACUCAAGGUGCAUCAUCCAAUACUACAAAACAAGAGAAAUACUGACAGUUAGAGAAAAGCAUCACAUUACUCAGGCCUCUCAAACAGAAAUUCUGCCAAAAUGUCAAGAUCCUAUGGCCUGUAGGAUACAGAAUGCAAACAUGAGGACCCAAAGUACAGAGUUCAUGUUGUUAGCUGAAACGUCUAUAUAUCAAGAGAUUAUGUUCACUUGGAAGUGAAAAAUCUAGUCAGUCAGUUCAGUAUCAUUUGCAACACCCAAGGACAUCAGUGUCAUAUAUUAUGGUACUAUUUUACACACCCUGAUUAAGUUUGUCAUCCCUUCAAACAAGUAUAAUAAUACAAGCACAGUAACUGGACUUCGGAAGUAAAAUCCAACAAUUGGGAGUGACACCCUAGGUAUAACAUAAACUAAGCAAAGCUCUAAUAGUUUAGAUCAGAUAAUGGGAGGGAGUAACACUAAAUAAAUGGGAGUCAUACCCUAGAUAAGGCAAGAAUAGUAAAACUCUCAUAGUUGAUAUCACAUUCAAUGAAAAUUGUCAUGCACUGGUAAAGAGCACCAUACAAAUCACAAGUUAUCUUCCUAUUAGGAACUCCCAUCUCCAUCCCCACAAUAGAAUUCAAACUGUUUUAAAAAGAAAUGACUAUCGGGAAUAAAGUUAGGACUCACUCUAUUGUUCGAAGUGAGGCCAUUCUCUACCAUUUGCGUGACCCACAAGUUAUGAAGUGUGUUUCACACAUGACUAGUUUCUCUAUACAGGGUUUGCCAACCUGAGUUGGGUUAUUUUCCGGUCUAACAAUACAGACUAGAUUUUAACAUAUUUCUGAUCUUAAGAACUUCCACAUUAAAUCAACAUAAAAUUUAAUGAACCCAAUGCAAAGUUACUUAGAAGCUAAUAAUGUAUCUUGACAAAAAUGAAACACACACAGCAGUCAAAAUACUUUACAUUCAGCUUCAUCGAGAAUUAGUCCUUAGUAAGCAGACCACAGUUUACACUAGAAAGAUGAAAUCUAAAGAAAACAACGAACCUGCUGCAAUUAGAAUCUAAUAAUAUAUCUUGAAAACUUGAAACAUAUGAAGCAGUCAAAAUACUUGGAAUCACAUUCAGCUUCAACAAAAAUUAGUAACUACUUAAUGGACCACCUCUCCAACACUACAAUAUAUUAUCAGACACACGCAAAAAAAUCAGACUUAUAAAUCACAUUUCAUGCAUACAUACCACAGAAAUUAACAGAACUACAUACCAUGGUCUCAUAAAAUUCCAUAUCACUCUAGGAAAAAAGUCCUAAAAAGGUAUUUUUAAAUAUCAACAGUUUUCAAUAAAACUCAGAAAAAAAAUUGCUCUCAAAACAAGAUGCAAUUGUUAGCAAAGCCUCCUGUGUGCUCCUGCGAACUCCAACAAAUUUCGGGUACAUGAUCAGUCCUGUUAAAGAGAAAAUAAUUGCCUAUCAUACCAUAUAUAAACGCCGCUCCUUCCCAGGUGCUGCUCAGAGAAACUCCAAUCCUGCUUGUUAUGCUGCCAAAGAAGGGAAAAAAAUAGCAGUGCUCUCCUAUAUUUCACACAAGGAGGGGUUAAGGAACCACAAUCCAUGCACGCCCAUAGGUAAGAAAGUCCCAAAUUAUAAAAUGAAGUGUAAAUUCUUUUGUAGUAAAACUACGGCGGCAUAAAUUGUGAAUAGAAAAUCCAGAAUUGAGGCUCGUCUGCGAAGCAUAAAGCUCCAAAUUGUUAAAAGAAACCAAGUAAUGAUUUGUGAAGAAAUUUGAAGGAAUAAUCUGUGAAAGCAAUAAAGUGAAAACACUAUUCGAAGUUCCCAUCACCAUGUUGAUGAGACCCAAAAAGAAAAAAAAGAUCAAGGAUUAGCAAAGAUUUCUGUGAGAGAAAGAGAGAGAAAAAAGAUCAAGGAUUAGCAAAGAUUUCUGUGAGAGAGAGAGAGAGAUAGAGAGAGAGAGAGAGAGAGAGAGAGAGAGAAGAA